ACGACCAUAGCCGCUUGGAAAACUCAGGAUCCCGUCUGAUCUCCCAUGAUAAGCCAGCGAGCGCCAAAUGAGUAGCUCUUUCGGUGACGGAGGGCGAAAGCUUGGUGUUGUAUGUU
rnacentral:rRNA from 1 species